GUAUGAACAGCCUUUAAAAUGUGUGAAUUACUCAAAUCGCGCAAUGUAAUAUACUUACUAUAAGAAAGGGCCCGAACUGUUGUUUGUCAAUUAGGUACCAAUUAAGGGCUUCAAUUUACUUGCGAAUAAUAAUUUAGUUUUUGUGAUCACAGUUUGAACAGACAUUUAAAUAUGUGAAUUACUCAAAAGUAACAGAUGAUAUAAACAAAACAAUUAUCAAGGAAUCAUAAUUCAAAUCUGAAAAUGCCACCAGCCCCUUCUGCAGUAUGGAAUACUUUACACGGUCUGUGGAUAAGAAGACCGCAACGUGUAAUGUGUGUAAACUUAGUUUUACAUAUGCGCGGUCUGCUACAAAUCUGUGGAAUCAUUAAAAAAUUCUAUGACACGAUGUUUUUCAUUCUAUUUGUGCCCGAUCACAGUAUCGGUCAUAGUAUUAGUCGACAGCGAUACAAUUGUUCGAUAGCAACGUUAAUAAACAGCCUCGUAUUUAGCAAACGGAUAUAACUUACAAACCAAUGGAAAUUAACACAUAACAAGUGUUCGCAGCCGAUUCAAUACCGUUACGUUGACAACCAUGACAAUCAAAAAGAAAGCUGCUGAAGCACCCAAAUUCAGGCUGCUAAGAAGGUGUCAAUCAACAAGACUUACAACUGAUUGAAUGUGCCUUUAUUUAAUGAACACUGUUAAAUGUGUUGUUAUUAUUAAUCAUACUGUUAUUAAAUCAAUUCAUUUAA